GCACUGUGCAGCCAUAUUGGAUUUUUACAUUUCUGGUCAUUUCUGAUUGGCUAUUUAUUUAGACGACUGCGCAUUCACGGGACUGGUACACCUUUAUAUUUACAUCAUGGGUACUCGGUAGUGAUAGAAAAUAGCGGUCCUCACUAUUUUCUGCUUCCGUGUCGGCAUUGUAAUAUUGUGUUUUCUUGACGGCACAGACAAUAAAGGUUUUCGAGAAGAAGAAGCGGUCACAGAGUUUUAAGGUCUUUGCUCGGAUCCGUUUUUACCAAGCCAGUGUUGUAAUAAUUGUUCUGACAACAAGGGGGAACUGAUCCGUCGUGACUACACGUUGUCAAAGAAACUAUUUCGAGGGUCAAGAAUGUUCCUAAGAGUGACAUUGAAAGUAUUAUAAAAAAGUGGCUGCAGCACGCUAGUGAUCGAUUAAAAAAAGAUAAGACAUAAUGGCUGCAUUCGGCAGAAAAAGCUGCUUUGCAACCGUUGUAAAAUUCGUGAAUAUGAUUGGCGUAUGCUUUUAGAUUCAAUCAAAAUUAAGCGCAUACGACAAUCAGAUUCAUGAUUUUUACAACAGUUGCAAAGCAGCUUUUUCUGCCGAACGCAGCCAAUGUCUGUGAUUUGAACAAUAUGUUUAAAACAUAUAUGUACAAGUAUGUGUAAGUGCUUUAUAAAAAAAAU